AGUGAACGCUAGCGGUAGGCUUAACACAUGCAAGUCGAACGGCAGCACAGGAGAGCUUGCUCUCUGGGUGGCGAGUGGGGGACAGGGGAGGGAUACAUCGGAAUAUACGCUGGCGUGCGGGUUAACUGAGUGAAACAUACGCUAAUACCGCAUUAGACCUACAGGAGAAAACAGGGGACCUUCAGCCCUUGCGCGAUUGGAUGAGCCGGUGUCGGAUUAGCUAGUUGGCGGGGUGAAGGCCCACCAAGGCGACGAUCCGUUGCUGGUCUGAGAGGAUAGUCAGCCACACUGGAACUGAAACAAGGUCCAGAUUAAUACGGGAGGGAGCAGUGGGGAAUAUUGGACAAUGGGCGCAAGCCUGGUCCAGCCAUACCGCGUGGGUUAAGAAGGCCUUCGGGUUGUAAAGCCCUUUUGUUGGGAAAGAAAUCCAGCUGGCUAAUACCCGGUUGGGAUGACGGUACCCUAAGAAUAAGCACCGGCUAACCUCGUGCCAGCAGCCGCGGUAA
rnacentral:rRNA from 1 species